rnacentral:sRNA from 1 species
UUUGGAGUAUACAAGAUGCGUCGUAAAUCGACAUCUUGUCGAUUUACGCACAUCGUG